rnacentral:lncRNA from 1 species
GGAAAACGUCUUAAAAAGUAUACAUUUAAAAAGUCUUCUCGUAGUUAGUUCAGUUGUUGAUUAUAUAUGUGAUAUAUCAGCUCAUUCACCAGGAUAUUAACGUUAUCAAUAUCAUCUCGUGACCUUUAUUUAUAACUGUGAUCAUGUGAUUAGAUUGUAUAAACAAAACUUGCAUUUAUUUGUGUAUCAUAUUGGUUAACAGAUAAAUAAGGGGGGAUGGAGCCUUUGCGAUACUUCUGCUGUUUUAUUUUGGUUUUCACCACAGUAAAUGGUAAGUAAUAGUUCAACUUUACCUCUUUAAUAUGUAUUUUAGCGCAAAUACUUUAUGAAGUGAUAUUUAAGCUUGAUUACGAGACAUGCGUAAAUAAAUAUUUUUCACUUGAGAUGUUUAUAAAUUUAAUACUUUUUAAAGGUCAUCGUUUAUAUAGUGUGGUCACUGUGACGCCGAUUUAAACAGGUUUAUAUUAAUCUUACCAAAUUGUUUAGUCCAUGUACUACACAAUAUAAAUAAUGGUUUGAAGAAAGACAUAAAUCAUUUAACAAUUUAAUCUCACAGACCAUGAUAGUUUAUCCAUAUACAUAUUAAAUGAAAAUAUUGAACAAUUUUUUUUAUAAUACACAUUUUUGCAUAUAUAUACUUUCAUAUGCAUAUUUUUUAUAUGAAAGUUAAUUAUUUUACACUCUUGUUACAAUUUUAUUCCUAUGAAGCCUGUACAUUUUGAAAAAUUAAUAAUCUUUAUUUAUCAGGUUUUUAUUUAUGUAUUAUGUCGAAAUGCGCAUCUGGUGCAAGAAAAUUGGUACCGUUAAUUUUGUUAUAUCGAGUGUGUCGUAACGUUAUCCAGGUUGUAUACACAUGAUACUAGAGCAAAAAAAUUCUAACAAUUACUUUUAAAAUUUUGUACAUGUAAAUAAAAAGCUGUCCAUUUGGAUUUAAAAAAAAGCUUUUAAUGUAAUAUGUAUAUAGAUGCAAAAGAAAUGAUGCAACUGGUCAGGCGUUCUAUCGAGAAUUCUAUACAAAAUAAUUUCAAAUUCAAAGGCAACAUAGUGCUAUAUCCUUUGCGUUUCAGUAUACUGCGUCACAUUGAAUGACAUACUUGCACAUUAAACACAAAUGUCCCACUACUAAGUCAGAAACUAAAUGAUAUCCUUAUGAGUUUGUUUUGAAAUCAUUGUUCAUUUAAAACACUUAUAUCCAAAAUCUGUAUUUUUCUGUGUUUCCUUUCUAUUAAUGCAACUUUAUUAUAUUAGGCACAUAACUUUCAAUUAUUUAAACACUAUUUCCUUCAUACAAUAAAGACUAUGACUAUCGAAGAAAACGGCAAUGUUCAAAAAUCAAUUUAAAACAAAUAUAUAAAACUAAUAACCAUUUAAAAGUUUAGAAUUUUACUUUAUAAACUUGCUAAAUUACUAAAAUUACAAUCCAAUAUUUUCGAUAGCGUUUGUGAAGUGGAACAUAAUACAGCGACGAAUAAUUGAAGAUACCGGACAUUGAAUUAUGUUUAAAUGGUAAUGGUAACAUAUCUGAAGUAUUAAGUAGCCCCUCCCCCUCCCGAAUUUAAAAAAAAAAUUACAAUCAAAUUGAACAUCCUUUUUUUCUUUAUUGCAUGCUCCAAUAGAGACUGAUACAAGUAACAGUCAUAUCUUUAACGGACUAGACCGAAUAGUCCCAGAAUAAACGAAUACAAACAUACUAUAAUGUUCACCACAAUACUUAUGUCAGCUAUUCUUUUUCAGCUUUGAAGUUUAAAGAAUACAAACAUUUCUUGGAAGAACAAUCCAGAAACCAAACAUUUUUGAAACUAUUCGAUCAGCAUAUUAAAAAAUUCAACAAAGCAAAAUCAAAGGUAAAAUUACGUUAAAUUCUUCUAUGGUGUACUGUUUUUACUGACAAGCUGAAGUAUUUAAUAUCCUGUCAACUAUUGAAAAUUCCAAGUUCAGUACACAAGCACGUGUUUUUCUGUAUCACCGUCACAAAACUCAAAAUGUUUAGAUGGCCUAGAAGCCAAUGGCACAAAAGAGUAUUAAGAAAACGAGAGAGAGAACUUAAAUUCCAGGGUUUAAAUGGAUCAUAGAACUAUACAUGGUUAUCCCUGGAUUUCUGCAUUCCGUCUAUUAAAUCCAUGUUAAAAGCGGCUAUUGGUUUUGUGUGAUGUAUAAAUACGAAGUUACGUUCUUUCGGAAAGGUGCAACUAAAGCAUACUUUCACGUCUCUAUACGUUAAAGUGACACCAUUACAAAAUGUCCAAAGGAUUGAUAGAUGGCCUGUUACAAAAUAUCACUCCUUCCCCUAAUUAAUAUUCUGUUAUUUUCCAUUGUACCCGCUUUGUAUGCAUGUCAGUUUCUAAUGAUCACAUGUACGUUGUGUCGACCGUAUAACCAGUGAAGUUUGAUUUCUAACGAUUUUUGCAAGGAUUAUUUUUGGAAUAUUAAAUUAAUAGUUUAUUUCAAACAAAAACCAAUACAACUUAUAGGAUGUGCAUGUAAAUUAUUGCAGAGGAUAUCUCGUUUUGUAAAAAACACGAUUUUGAUCAAAUAUUUUGGCAAGUCAUAUCAAAUGAGAAAUGUAAACGCUUAAGGAUAUGUGGGAUAAUCGAAAAUAAGAAGUUAAGAAAUAACACGUUUAUCAUAAAUCUCACAUAACAAAUAAAUAGUGAAGACAGCAAAAGAUUCCAUAGCGAAAAUAUGAAAUAAGUUUUUCUGAUAUUGAAAUCAGAUUAUAAAAUUAGAAUGUUUGGGUUUUUUGGUGUUUUUUUUAAAUAAUAAUCUCUGAUUCAUUUCAGUGCGAUAUUCAGGUGACAACAGUCUCCAAAGUUCUUGAAGACUUGUAAACAUUUUAUUUUAAUGAAAAUUGUUUUUAAUCAAUUAUUUUAUCAUAUUGUGAAUUUCAGAGCGUCCAGUUUCCAUGCGAAGGAUUUAGAUUAAACAAGAACGCAAUCAA